AAUGACGUGCUUGCACUGAUUUCAACAAUGAAGCGAGUGGCGAACUGGUGAGUAACACGUGGGAAAUCUGCCCAGAAGCAGGGGAUAACACUUGGAAACAGGUGCUAAUACCGUAUAACAACAAAAUCCGCAUGGAUUUUGUUUGAAAGGUGGCUUCGGCUAUCACUUCUGGAUGAUCCCGCGGCGUAUUAGUUAGUUGGUGAGGUAAAGGCCCACCAAGACGAUGAUACGUAGCCGACCUGAGAGGGUAAUCGGCCACAUUGGGACUGAGACACGGCCCAAACUCCUACGGGAGGCAGCAGUAGGGAAUCUUCCACAAUGGACGAAAGUCUGAUGGAGCAAUGCCGCGUGAGUGAAGAAGGGUUUCGGCUCGUAAAACUCUGUUGUUAAAGAAGAACACCUUUGAGAGUAACUGUUCAAGGGUUGACGGUAUUUAACCAGAAAGCCACGGCUAACUACGUGCCAGCAGCCGCGGUAAUACGUAGGUGGCAAGCGUUGUCCGGAUUUAUUGGGCGUAAAGCGAGCGCAGGCGGUUUUUUAAGUCUGAUGUGAAAGCCUUCGGCUUAACCGGAGAAGUGCAUCGGAAACUGGGAGACUUGAGUGCAGAAGAGGACAGUGGAACUCCAUGUGUAGCGGUGGAAUGCGUAGAUAUAUGGAAGAACACCAGUGGCGAAGGCGGCUGUCUAGUCUGUAACUGACGCUGAGGCUCGAAAGCAUGGGUAGCGAACAGGAUUAGAUACCCUGGUAGUCCAUGCCGUAAACGAUGAGUGCUAAGUGUUGGAGGGUUUCCGCCCUUCAGUGCUGCAGCUAACGCAUUAAGCACUCCGCCUGGGGAGUACGACCGCAAGGUUGAAACUCAAAGGAAUUGACGGGGGCCCGCACAAGCGGUGGAGCAUGUGGUUUAAUUCGAAGCUACGCGAAGAACCUUACCAGGUCUUGACAUCUUCUGCCAAUCUUAGAGAUAAGACGUUCCCUUCGGGGACAGAAUGACAG
rnacentral:rRNA from 1 species